rnacentral:rRNA from 1 species
AUUGAACGCUGGCGGCAGGCCUAACACAUGCAAGUCGAACGGUAGCACAGAGAGCUUGCUCUCGGGUGACGAGUGGCGGACGGGUGAGUAAUGUCUGGGAAACUGCCCGAUGGAGGGGGAUAACUACUGGAAACGGUAGCUAAUACCGCAUAACGGCUUCGGACCAAAGUGGGGGACCUUCGGGCCUCACACCAUCGGAUGUGCCCAGAUGGGAUUAGCUAGUAGGUGGGGUAAUGGCUCACCUAGGCGACGAUCCCUAGCUGGUCUGAGAGGAUGACCAGCCACACUGGAACUGAGACACGGUCCAGACUCCUACGGAAGGCAGCAGUGGGGAAUAUUGCACAAUGGGCGCAAGCCUGAUGCAGCCAUGCCGCGUGUAUGAAGAAGGCCUUCGGGUUGUAAAGUACUUUCAGCGGGGAGGAAGGCGAUGGAGUUAAUAGCUUCAUCGAUUGACGUUACCCGCAGAAGAAGCACCGGCUAACUCCGUGCCAGCAGCCGCCGCUG